rnacentral:tRNA from 1 species
GGAUAGGUGGCCGAGUGGUCGAAGGCGCACGCCUGGAAAGUGUGUAGACGUCAAAAGCGUCUCGAGGGUUCGAAUCCCUCCCUAUCCGCCA